UUUUGACAUGUUUUCCACUAGGUGGAGCUUCUUGAGCAGCUACAGUUAACUGCAACAUACAGUGUGUUUCACUUUCACCUAUUAUUAUAACAUACAAAAACAAGAGUUUGCGGUGAUAUUUCAUGAUGUGGAGCACCUGCACUUUUUGCCUGUAAUUUUAAAUACUCCGCUUAUACAUGUUUUUAAACUGAACGAAUAUGUUUUACUGAUGGUUUUCCAGUUUCAGAAGAUUCAGAGUGAUCUGCUUACUCUCGGGGGAGAUUUGAGCUGGAGAUCUUCACCAUUGUGAGCCGAGUAUUGGCUCAUGGACAGAAGUUGAGACAUCGCGGUGACAGAAGGAGAAUCCCGUCCGAUUUCCCAAUUGCUGUAAACAGCCGCCACAGCUCCACAGGCUGGGAGCUACAGGGAGCUGAGUGGCUGUUGUGUGUCUUGAAGGAGGGGCUUUGUGAAGCUGAAAGUUGGUUGGCAGCUGAGGGCAGAGUCACUGUCAGGAACUGGGUAGCAACAGCAGCCCAAUACCCCUGGCUUUAUAUCGGUGGGAGGAGGCAGCAAAGCUCAGUGGAUGAGCCGUAGACAGUUCAGUGUCUGUGAAAGCAACAUGGAGCUCACAGGUCUGAUGAGGAGAGCUGCAGUCCAACAUGAAGGAACUCUUCAAAUCACACACACACACACACACUGAGGCUUCAACACUCCCUCCCUACGGUGAAUACAUGACUGAAUGCUAUAAAUCACUCGUCUGUGUCUGUGCUUGACAGCAGGGCCUCGGAAAGCUGAUGAUGUGGAAACCCCAUAAAUGUUUAAUCAACACAACAUGGCAGCGUCACACUGAUGAUGAUGAUGGUGUUGGUGGUGGUGAUGAUGAUCACUGCAUGCUGAGUGUGUGCAUCACCACACACACACACAAAGGCUCUGUGAGGCCUGCAGGAGGAGGCUGCAGCUGGACAUGAUCUGUUACACCCAUAAACACACUGUAGCAUGAAAGGAGGCAGGAAUGCAGAGGCACAGUCUGUCUGUCUGUCUGUAGCCAAUACAAAAUGGUAGUCAUGGUGUUGUGCUGCUUACCUGCUGUGGGCUGCUUGUCCUCCACACUGUGGCAGGCAGGCAGGCAG